rnacentral:tRNA from 1 species
GCGGAUGUAGCGCAGCUGGUAGCGCAUCACCUUGCCAGGUGAGGGUCGCGGGUUCGAAUCCCGUCAUCCGCU